UCCUAGGUAGUAUAGUGGUGAAUAUCUCCGCAUGUCACGCGGGAGACUGGGGUUCGAUUUAUCCGCCGAGGAA